GGAGCGGCGCACGCGCAGGCAGCCGCUCUGUGAUUGGCCUGGACGGGGCGCUUGGCGCGGGGCAGCGUCCGGAGAGGCCGCGGCCCGUGCGUGGCAGAUCCUUUCCUGGAAGCCCAGGUGGACUCACGCAGCCCCAUUGCUGCCAAAAUGACCUCCCUGGGCACGAGUAACCAGUCCGUUACAGAGUAUGUGGUGCGAGUACCCAAAAACGCCCCCAAGAAGUACAACAUCAUGGCCUUCAACGCCGCCGACAAAGUCAACUUCACCACCUGGCACCAGGCGAAAAUGGAGCGAGAUCUCAGCAACAAGAAGAUCUACCAGGAAGAGGAGAUGCCGGAGUCGGGGGCCGGCAGCGAGUUCAACCGCAAGCUGCGGGAGGAGGCACGCCGCAAGAAGUACGGCAUCGUCCUGCGGGAGUUCAAGCCUGAGGACCAGCCCUGGAUCCUCAAGGUCAACGGCAAAGCUGGGCGCAAGUUCAAAGGGGUGAAGAAGGGUGGCGUGACCGAGAACGCCUCCUACUACAUCUUCACACAGUGCCCUGACGGCGCCUUCGAGGCCUUCCCGGUCAGCAACUGGUACAACUUCACCCCCGUGGCCAAGCACCGCACCUUGACGGCCGAGGAGGCGGAGGAGGAGUGGGAGCGGCGGAACAAGGUGCUGAACCACUUCACCAUCAUGCAGCAGCGGCGGCGGAAGGACCAGGAUGACGAGGAGGAGGAGAAGGAGAAGACGAAGAAGAGGAGCAGCGAGCUGAAGAUCCACGACCUGGAGGACGACCUGGAGAUGAGCUCAGAUGAGAGCGAGCUGAGUGACGCUGAUGGGGAGAAGGCGGCCAAGCCCCAGAAGAAAACCCCGCUGACCAGGAAGAAGAAGAAGAAAAAGGGCUCGGACGACGAGGCCUUUGAGGACAGCGACGACGGAGACUUUGAGGGGCAGGAAGUGGAUUACAUGUCGGAUGGGUCCAGCAGUUCGCAGGAGGAGGCAGCAGUGGGGAAGCCCAAGGUGACGAAGGAAGAGGACGGUCCCAAAGGGAUCGACGAGGCGAGCGAGAGCAGCGAGGAGAGCGAGGAGGAGAAGCCUGCCGAGGAGAAGGAGGAGGAGGAAGAGGAGAAGAAGGCCCCCACCCCUCAGGAGAAGAAGAAGAAAAAGGACAGCAGUGAUGAGUCGGAGACCUCCGAGGAGAGCGACAUUGACAGCGAAGCGUCCUCGGCACUCUUCAUGGCGGUUGAUUCCAAUCAGGGGGUUAUGCCCGGAUCCCCCGGAUUCAAACGGUGCCUCUCCUGCCAGGAGGCCAUCCCCAUCAGCGACGGGCACCCCCAUUGCCUCCUGUGCUUGGGAGAGGCACACUUGCCCCAAAAUUGCACACACUGCCUUAACCUUAAGGUGCGCAGUCAGAAAGCCUGUGACCUGAAGCUGAAACCCCAAAUGAAGGAGAGCCUGCUGCGGCCAGCCUCAGACCCUGGGCCUGGGACCCCCCCUGGACAACGGUCACCAUCAGCACCAGCUGCUCCACGCUCCCUGCGGGCUACAAAGACGAAAUCAACAGAUUCCUCACAAAAAGAUGCUAAAAAACGAACCCCACGUUCGCCCACCCAGGAGCCAAGGAAAAGAAAGAGGUCCCCAGCAAGAUCGGUAGCUUUGGCACUGACUGGUGUAAUACUGAGCACCUAUGACACCCCUGGGACCUCCGGUAUUGUGGACGCCGGUAAGUCCAAGGACCCCAAGAGGGCAAGACGAGACAAGACUGCACCAUCUGAUGACGGAGGCAAGGAAAAGCCCAAAGCCUCAAAGACGGAACCGACCAGCCACAUGGCACCAGGCACUUCGGUGGCGCCGCCUGCUGGGCGUUCAGCGGAACGCAGAGCAACCCUGGCGCUGACAAGACAGUCGGCACCGAUGCCGACACAACUACCUCCCAUGGUACCGAAGACGUCCCAGGAGUUUAGAUUCCCAAAAGACGGAUUUGUCUCUGAGACGCCAGAGUCUCCACCGCUCCGUACCGGGACGGCUGCGGUACACAGCAAACCUACCCAUUCGCCGUCACCAUCCAGGACUGCCCCCGCCUUCUCCAGCGGAGACGAGGAGGAAAACGAUGCUUAUUCUGUGCCCUCACGCAGCUGCUCUUUGCGUCGAGAUGCGGCACAACUUGACUCUUCUGCCUGCCGUAGGUACCAGGAACCCAGAGGUGACCCAACACCCUGGUAUGGACACCCAUGGAUGCCCCCCUUCAUGCCUAUGCCCCCCCAGUGGCCUUGCUGGGAUCCAUGGGCUGCUUACAGGCAACAGUCUUCCAGGCCACCCAAUACCCAGAGGGAGAAACCAAGGCACUCCUCGUCGUCUUCAGUGUCCAGACCUCCCGAGCCUGAAGGAGAAUCUGUCAAGGAGCAGGAGGAAAGGCUCGAGCAGGAAGCUACGCCUGCACCCAAUAUACCGUCGUCCUCAGCGGCCAAAGCAGUCGUGCCGCCUCCACCGUUGUCGGCUGAUGAUGAUUUCCGACAGCGUCAGGAGCUGUUCAGACGGAUAGCGGAUUCUCUCCACAUCCCGUUAGAGGAACCAAGAGAGUCGCGGUGCAUGUUUCUGGAUAUACUGCCCACAUCAACCAAGAUCGGGCUGCCUAUAGUUAAGACCCUCUUAGACUCAGCUAAAGCGGUCUGGCAAACUCCAGCCACGAUCCCUCCCACCUGUAAGAGGGCUGAGAAGAAGUAUUUUGUCCCCUCAAAGGACAUGGAGUUCUUAUCUUCGCUGCCCACACCGAAUUCAAUGGUGGUCUUGGCGGUGAACGAAAGGGAGAGACUACGUCUGAACAACCCAUAUGACAAAGAUUGGAAGAAACUAGAUUUGCUGGGCCGUAAAGCACACUCCUCAGCAGCUCUCCAAUUCCGAAUUGCCAAUUACGAGGCGUUCAUGUCAAGGUAUAACCACACGAACUAUUCAAAACUGAACGAAUUUAUUCAAUAUAUCCCAGAGGACAAAAGAAAACAAUUCCAGGCGGUCGUGACAGAGGGCCAGCUGCUGGCCAGGACAGCAUUGCAAGCAUCCCUCGAUGCAGCAGACACGGCUGCCCGCUCCAUAGCAACAGCGGCGGUCAUGAGGCGAAUAUCUUGGCUACGUCUUUCGGGACUCCCAAAGUACAUACAAGCUACAGUGGAGGAUUUUCCCUUUGAAGGCUCCAACUUAUUCGCUGACAAGACCGAUGACUAUUUCCGCUCCAUCCGAGAUUCAAGAGAGUUGCUGAGAGCAUUACGUGUCUCCACGCCAAGGAGACGGCAGAAUAGAUACCACGCUACCUCAAGAUCUCGAACCUCUGCAUUUCCCCCACCUCAACGACUCUACGACCCGGAAAUGACCGACACCUCCCAAAUGUAACUGCCCCCGACAUAGUCAUGUACAUCUCACCAACCCAUCUCACAACAGAAUAUUGGGUUGAGGCUCCAAGGUGCCUCCCCCGGAUCCAUGUGCUGUGACCACCAGAAAACAUCCAUCCCUUUGGCGACUGCCUGACCCCGUUCUACCCAGUGUCACCUUGGACAAGUGGGUAUUAGAAAUGGUCACUAACAGAUACUCAAUGCAAUUUCUCUCCCUCCCGCCAAUCCACCCAUGCCCACCCCCCACCCCCCCCGACACCUUCUGCAGGAAGAAAUAAUCCACUCGGGGGCUGUAGAACCAGUUCUGCUCCAACACCACAAGUGAGGCUUUUAUUCUAACUAUUCCCUCAUCUCAAAAAAGAGCAGUGGGUGGAGACCCAGUCCUAGACUUCAGAACAUUCAACAACAACAAUUCAGGAUGGUCACGUUAGCAACAAUAAUCGCAACACUGGACCAGGGGAUUGAUCUCGACCUCCAAGACGCAUGUUUUCACGUUCCCAUACACCAUCUCCUAGAGAUUCCUCAGAUUUGUUCUGGGCUUGGAUCCUGGCCAGUACAAAGUGUUUCCCUUGGGCCUCUGGCACCCAGGGUAUUCUCCAAGCUCCUUGUGGUGUGGUGCAUCUCCGCCAACAGGCAAUUAUGAUAUUCCCAUAUGUGUCCAGUUGCCUUCUCAAAGCCCCCUCUUGAGACAACGCAGUCCUGGCUACACAGAGAACUAGGCAUUCAAAUCAACACUCAGAAAUCACCACUGACGCCUGUACUGCAUCCAGAGUUCAUUGGGCCCUACCCUGCUGCAGUGGAGGCCAGAGCCUUCUGACCAACACACAGACUUGCCACCCUAGCCAAUUUGAUCUCCAGGGUACCAAACCAGUCCACAGGCAUUGGCCAGAACAUGUAGACGACUACCAGGGCAUAUGGCAGUGCCCACCAGUGUUGUAAAACAUGCCAGGUGCACAGGUAUGGCUCCAGACAGAAUACGUCCUGCACAGACACAGCUUAAACAAAUCUCUCCCCAAGCCAAUCUUACCCGUGUGAAUGGACAAGAUUCCAGACCUGGUGUGACAGUGUUUCACCUAGAACUUCUCCCUUGUCACUGGUACUGGACUGCAUCUGAGAACGAAAAGGGCCAGGGCUGUCCUCAAGUUCAAUCCAAAUGGAUCUUGCAGCCAUCCCAACCUUCCACCGCAAGGUCGCUGGUCAUUUGGUGUUCACCCACCCUGGAACAAGACGGUUUCUCAGAGGAAUUUGAAAUCUCUGCCUUGAAGUAUGAGAUCCCACUGCACCUUGGGUCCUUAACCUAGUCAUGCGAUGCCUGACUGGACACUCCUUGGAGCCCAUGAUGACCUACUUGCUUGUUCAUUGGCUGUCUUCACUGACAGAUGUUUCUCGUUACCCCCUCUCAAUAUAAUCUUCAAAGAUAGUUUCGUUGAGACCGCAUCCAAAGUUACUUCCUAAAAUACCUUCCUCACUGCCCCUGAAUCGGCCUGUUUGCCAGCCAUUGUUGUCCCUGAACCACGUAGAACUAAACGUUCCACACGCUAGACGGGCGCUUGCCUCUGACCUCCCAAGGACUAACCCUUUCAGAAAGUCACCACCAUGACUCCUUCCUAUUGCAGAAAGAUCAGAGCUCAGCCGUACCUACACAAAGACUUUCACAACAGGUUUCCGACUGCAUUCACCUUUGCUGUCAUCAGUGCGGUUUGCCCCUGAAGGCACUGCACACGAUCCAUUUCCACGUCUCUAGCUUUCCCGACCCAUGCGCCAAUCACAGACAUUGGUAAAGCAGUGCCCUGGGCGUCGGCACGCACGUUCCCGGAGCAUGAUGCCAUAGUGCGAGUCACUACAGCAGGUGCUCGCUAGGACUGUCCGUGUGAUCGUCGCUAACAAAUCCAACCCCGAAGCCCUAGCCUUCCAGCGUUCUCCUGUCACCUAAAGUGCAGCACCCCCAGGGACACGACUCGCCCUGUGCGGUAACUGAGGUUCUUCGAGACGGGUGUCCCUGGGCGUGCUCCACUGCUCGCCCUCUUCCCUCUGCUUCAGAGUUCGGCCAUGGGCUCUGCGGCAUAGAAGGAACCGAGGCCGGUUGAGAAGAGGGAGCACGUGUGUGGCCCAAACGGGCGCUGCUAUGGAAAAUCUCUGAUCCUAGGCGCAGGGAGGCGGCACCCGUAGGGACCCACAUCUCGGAGACCCCUGGUUACUGCACAGGAGGAGGAAAACUCCACCCAAGAAGGAGCGAAAGGGGUCG